rnacentral:RNase_P_RNA from 1 species
GAGGCAGGCCGGAACGUCGCUGGUUGCGCUCACGUAAGUGGGUUGUAGCGGGAGGAAAGUCCGGGCUCCGUAGAGCACGACGCCGGGUAAUGCCCGGACCCGUUUACGGGAUAGAAAGUGCCGCAGAAACGAUACCGCCUUCGACGCCUACGGGAGUUUAGGGUAAGGGUGAAAUGGUGAGGUAAGAGCUCACCGGCGAUGAGGCAACUCAUCGUGCUGAGGUAAACCUCGUCGGGAGCAAGGCCAAGCAGCGGGUGAGUUGCUCGCUCAUACGCCCGCGGGUAGGUUGCUGGAGUCGGUCGGUGACGGCUGGCGUAGAGAGAUGACGUUCGCGAUCCUUUGGGUCAAGGCCCGAAUGACCGUACAGAACCCGGCUUAUAGGCCUGCUUCGCUC